rnacentral:lncRNA from 1 species
GUCCCUGUGUCCUUUCACAGCACAGUGAAAAAUCUGCAGACCUCUCUGCAGGGCUCGGCUCUGUUGCAAGCCAUGACAUUCAGGGCAAAUCACUUCACCACUCCAAACCUCAGACUCCAAUCUGGGAGGCAAUGACCAGCGGUUCAAGGCACAGACUUUGAGGCCACACCAACCCGGACACAAAUCCGCUCUGCUAUUUCUCAGCUGUGUGACAUCUGUUCCCUCAAUACUAAGCAGUACCUACCUCAGAGGGCUGUUGAAAGAAGGAAGAGACAAAGCAAGAGAAGUACUUAGCCAGAGCCUAGCACACAUUUGGCCCAGGACUCCUCUCCAGCCUCAUGUCCCGAAACUCUCCCUUAGUCCCUGGGCUCUAGUUACUCACCUUAUUCUGCUGCUCGAAGGAAUCAAGCCCUUUCCCACCUCUGGGCUUCCACACAUACUGCUUCCUCUCCAGGGAACACUUGGCUCUUCCCCCGACUCCCCACCCCACAGACACUCCUUAGUUUAAAAGCUGCUUCCUGGGGCAGGCCCAGUGGCCGAGUGGUUAAGUUCCUGCACUCUGCUUUGGGAGCCCAGGGUUUCGCCGGUUCAGAUCCUGGAGGCUGAGGCGGCGUCCUACAUAGCACAACCAGAGGUUCACUGAAUCUCUAAGAAUUGGGAUCUAACUGGAAAGACAGUUCAAGAAUUAAGGCCGCUGACCCUUAAUGACACUCCAUCUCCCUCAGGACUGGCUGGACCAGAUUUACGACAGAAAGGCCGCAAACAGCCCCUGCUGAUUUCGAGACCCCUCUUCCUCAUCCCGCAAAGACGUCUAUUUGCAUACGCCAGACUCGAGGGAAGCGGCCGGCGGUGGCUGAUUUGCAUGCUCUCGUGCUAUUGGUUGGGAGGGCGGCACGGGAGCCAAUGGCUUGCAGCAGCGUUUACCCGGCGCCGCCUGGUGAGGUAAUGGAAUCCUGGCUGGCCCCGGCCGCCGGCGCGGGCCCCCGCCCUCCCGUGACGUAGCGGCUUCCCCGGCCCCACCCGGC